GGGAAUGUGAGAGGUGUGACUGUGACAUCUGUCACUCCCUUGAGUAUUGGAAGUGACGCAGCUGGUCUGGCUCCAUAGACUGGUGUCUCCUUCCUCCCUCAGUGUCACAUAUUUGUCUCUCCCAAAGCUGUGAAUCUAUGGCAGGUGGAAGAGGAUGACUUUGCCCAAGGAUGAUCUUCCUAGACCAGAAAGGUGACGCCUUCAAUCAAGGGUAUUAGGUAGCUGUACUCCCACGCUCACUCUCCAAAUAAGUGUUCAAGUUCCAAAUGUGGUUAUAAAAUUAAUCACUUAUGUAAAGCAGAUUUGCUUCCUUGAUUGUGUCAAUAAUCUGU
rnacentral:snRNA from 1 species